rnacentral:rRNA from 1 species
GCGGAGCAUCUUGUGGAAUACGAUGCUACACCAAGAACAUCACCUACUACUGACAUCCAGAGAACUACCCUGAGAUGGAUUAGUGCUGUCGUGAAGUACUAGACAGCAGCUGCAUCACUGUCGUCAGCUGGUGUUGUGAAAAAAUGGGUUAAGUCCUGCAACGAGCGCAACCAUCAUCCUCGUUGGCCAGCGAGUAAUGUCGUGAACUCCAGCGAGAAGACCGGUGAUAAACCGGAGGAAGGUGGGGAGGACGUCAAGUCAUCAUGGCCCUCACGAGUAGGGGGACACACCUGCUACAACAGCGCAUACAGAGGGGGGCCAACAAGCGAAAAUGAGGGAAUCCCAAAAAAAACGGCGUAGUCCUGAGGGGAGUAUUCAACUAGUCUCCUUGAAGUAGUAAUCGUUGGUAAUCAUGGAUCAUAAUACCACCGCGAAGACGACCCCCGCCCUCGUACACCCCACCCCCCACCCCACCGGAGGAUUGUGCAAAAAAAGAAGGAUGUAGACCUCCGCCGGAC